UUUAACUCUACACUGUAAGUUAGGUAGAAAAAUGUUACCAGCCCACAUUUUUUUUUAAAGCAUGAAGGUAUACUUGUAGUAACAUGAAUGAAAUUAGAAUUUUUCAUGAGCUUUAUUUGUCAUAAAUUAUUUCUCACCCUUAGACAUGGCUGUGUAGUCAUUUUCAGUUGCCCACUGGCUAGGUGUAAGUCAGAAUUCCAGGAUUUUAAUUUUUUUCAUUUUGUGGAAGAGUAGACACACAUCAUCACUCUCUCAGAAAUUUAAAAGCCUACUAAUUUCUUCAGUUAGUGGGACUACUUACCACGCUUCUGAAGGAGCAAGAGCUAUUGAGACAGCCUGUUCCUGAAGGUCGUGCUGUUAUCUUCCUGAAACUGUUAACAUAAAUAGGAAGUAAAUAAAAAUAAAACCAAGGGAGAAAAAAAUCUGUUUAUCAGAAGGAUACUUUUGUAUAACAGUGGAGUUUUAUUGUUAAGAUUACAAGAGUGCAUAGCCAACAAAUGAAGGUACCUUUUUUUAAGAGACAAAAGUUUUUUUUGGACUUCCAGAUACAUUAUUUCCAGUUUAGGGACUUGGGUCUAUCCUUGGCCCAAGACCAUCUCAAUCUUAUUCUGUAAAACAGCCUCGUUAGCUACUGGUCCAAUUUCUUUAUGGAAUGGUUUCUCUUUGUUUCAUAUUUCCCCUCCCCUAAAGGGAAAACAGGUCUUUUUAAUUCACAUGGGUGUACUAGAAAGUUUUCUCCCUCCAGCUUUAUGAAAAUAACAUUCAUAGAAAACUGGGCGAAAGCAGAGUAAGAGAUCCUUCAACAUGUAAUGUAGAUCAAGAAAUACUGAUUCAGAAAAAAGAUGAAAAAGUAAAUAUAACCUUUCUAAUUCUGGUACAUGUCUGAACACAGAGACUAGGUAAGUGUUUCUUAAGUAGGGGUGAUUUUCCUACUCUCCACCCAUCCCAGGGCAAUGUCUACAAGAGACAUUUUUGCUGGAGAGAGACACUACUGGCAUCUAGUGGGUGGAGGCCAGGGAGGCUGGUAAACAGUGCACAAGACAGCAUCCCUCCCACACCCAAGGAAGAAUUAUUAGCCCCAAAUGUCAAUAGUACCAUAGUUGAGAGAGCCUGCACUAGGUGUUAGGCAUAUGUCCGAUGCAUGCAGUACAAUAGCAAAAGAGACUAGGAUAAGCACUCCUGUGGCAUUAUGUUACUGUAUACAGAAUUCCCAGAUGAUUGUAUUUAAUAGCAUUUAUUGAGCCCCUAUUACGUGUCAGACACUAUACUCAGUGCUACUAAUUCUGCCUUUGGUUUUGAUGAGGGAUGGGUGCCUGCCAGAGGCUUGAUGAAAAGCUUGGUUUGGUCCCCUAUUACCAUAGACACAUAGGGACUUUUGCUAUAUUAUCCAACUGCCUCUGUGUGCACUCUGUAGACCAGGAGGAGUGUGCUGGCCCCAGAACAGCACACUCAGGAUGUGGCACAGAAGCACACAGACUCUUUUUCACUCUUCCUCAUGGUCCCUAAGGUUGGCUUAAUAUUGUAAACCCAUGUAUAUCCUGUCACAACGGACAUUUUUAAAGAUACCAAGACAGGAAAGAGACAGAUAAGUUAGACUCACUGUUUUUUUGUGUGGAGAGCACUUUGUGUUGCAAACAAAUGAAUGGCUUGAAUUCUCAAAUUGCUUUGGAAUUGAUCCACAGGCUCAUAUCGUUUCCCUGCAUCUCAUUGCUACUGGGCCAUGUGUAUCUAUGAAGUAGUAAAAACACAGUUUUAGUAACCAGAUGGCAGGCAGGCUUACUUAGAAAACAUCACAUUGAAUGUAUUACAAUGGCCCAGGAAUUACUUAGAGCAGUAACAUUUAUUUUCCCUAUAGUGAAAGCAAGAUUUUGUCUUCUUUAAAGCCAAAUUAUUUAUUGUCAUCAAUGCUUACAUCAAAUUUCAAGCAAAUAGAGACUAAAAUUUGUGUUAGUUAUUUCAGUGUAGACAAACAUCAAGUGCCACCUCAUUCCCUCAAGUGCAUUAUUUGCAAGUGAAUAUUAAAUCAUCAUAGAAUUUCUUCCCUUCAGAGAAAGGUUUGGGAACAAAUCUUUCCCUCCCGAGUAAGAGUAGAAGAGAGCCUUCCUUAAAGAUAAGGAGCAGAGGAAGCCUCACUGGAAAUGAUUAUUACUGACCUCUCCUAUGUUGCUUUGGAAUAUAAAUUAGCUCUGACCUAUAAAUCAGUUUUGCAAUAUAACUCUGUAUCACGAAUCUCUAUCUUUGGAAACUGAGUGAUCAGAAAAAUAAACCAGUUAAUCUAUUGUCAAAUAA